UGGGGGAUAUUGGACAAUGGGGGAAACCCUGAUCCAGCAAUGCCGCGUGUGUGAAGAAGGCCUGAGGGUUGUAAAGCACUUUCAGUGGGGAGGAUAAGUAUAAGGUUAAGAGCUAUAUAACUAGACGUUACCCACAGAAGAAGCACCGGCUAACUCCGUGCCAGCAGCCGCGGUAAUACGGAGGGUGCAAGCGUUAAUCGGAAUUACUGGGCGUAAAGGGUGCGUAGGUGGUUUAAUAAGUUAACUGUGAAAGUCCUGGGCUCAACCUAGGGAGGUCAGUUAAGACUGUUAGACUUGAGUAUAGGAGAGGGUAGUGGAAUUUCCGGUGUAGCGGUGAAAUGCGUAGAGAUCGGAAGGAACACCAGUGGCGAAGGCGACUACCUGGCCUGAUACUGACACUGAGGCACGAAAGCGUGGGGAGCAAACAG
rnacentral:rRNA from 1 species